UCUUUAUUAUUUCAGAUACAUUGCACCAUAGCAAAGUUGCUGCUGUAAAGUUUCUGAAAAAAAAUGAAACUGAACAUUCAAGAACAGGGAAUCCAUUGGUAAAAUGGCUCCAGGAGGAUUCUGUUCAUCCCAAGCAACAGUUCCUUAAUAUGGGUGCAGGUGACAGACCUCAUCAACAUUUUAGAAACCAUGGAAAAGUUAUUCAAGGCAGACUGAAAGAAGCUGCAAAAAAGAUCUGCUAUCUGAGCAAAGAGAAACAGCAGCUGCUAGAGAUGGUAAAUAGACUAAGAACAGAACUUGGAGAAGGUUCAAAGAAAGGAUUUCAGGAUUGCAACGAUUCAAAAAACGCUCAAAAUGACACAUUCUCUGGUGCCCUUUAUCCCAAAGAACUUGUACAAGAAAGAAAGCAGCAUUUUCUAGCUUUAGAACAUUUGCAAUGCCAUCUUACAACACAGAUUGGAUCAGACUCAUGUACAAGAAACUACACUGCAGAUCCCUCAGUAUCUAAAGCCCCUGUGCUUCAGCAACCUCAACAAAUCAGAAGAGAAAGUCCAAGACUAUCCCAACAAAGUCUAUUAUCAUCUAGUGCGCCUAGUUCCUUGGAGGAAAUUUGGCAAAUGUUAGAGAUGGGAUCAAGUCCUUCAGUUCUCAGCCCCCAAAACAUUGAUCAAGAAAAAUGCCAGAUUAUCAAUGAACCAAAAAGACUUGAAGAGUCUCCAAGAAAAACACAAGUAGAUCCAUUGGCUGUCAAGGGGACAAAGUUUGAUGUCCAGUCAAGAUUAAAACCAAAGAAAUCACCUUACAUUCAAUCAAAAAAAAAACCAAAAUCUCAACGAAUAACUAAAAUUCGCAAUUACAAUAUAAAGGACUGAGAUUUCACUGAACUAUCAAAUUUUCUUUGUAAGGCAUGCUGAGAUUCUUUGCUUUUUAUUACAGUAUAAAAUAAUUUAAAUAUUCGUCUGUCAGCUGCAUUGAUAUUGCUAAUCUCGUAUUAUUGCAUAUUGAAAAUGCUCAUUUUUCUUUUUCUCCAUUGAAUAAAAUGUAAAAGUCUACUCA
rnacentral:lncRNA from 1 species